rnacentral:lncRNA from 1 species
CACCAACCUCCUUCCUCUUUAAAGUCUCAUUGAGAGAGGAAUGUCUACAGCAUCCUUGGUAACACAUUACAGUGUUUCACAACCCUCCUAGCCAGGAAGCUGUUCUUAAUGUUUAACCUUAAUCCCUCCCGCUGAAAUUUAAGGCCCUUUUCUCUUGUUGAGUGCAAAUGGAGAACAGCUGCUCACGCUCGUCGUCUGACAUCAGCUAUUUCUCAGGAUGACCCUGCGAGACAGGCCAGGGUCAUUAGACCCAAUUUGGUUCUCAGCAAAUAUGUGUUUAUUCCUGCAUGCGUGGGCCACAGGCUGGUUUCUUGGGUGCAAUGAAUAGCUGCAGGUUUAUUAGGGUGUCUUUUUAGAUGGAUGUAUGUUUCCCGAUGUCUAUAGAACACUCCGGACCCCGGAGAGUGAAGACUCUGCCUGUCGGACUUGCUUUGAGAAGAUCCUUCUCCACCUCCCCAUGGCAGAAGUUGCUUCACAGAGGGGAACAGUUUUAUGGAUGUGGCUGAGACCUUAAACUUGAGGCAACCCAUCUGAGGUGGCAUCCAGAGGAGACUGGCUGGCCCCUCCUUCACCUUGGAUGUAGUGCUGUUUCUAGGAUCUCUUUUCAAUCAGCAAAACAGGGGAUGUUCCAAGAGGGUGUGGAUUCCCUGCCAUCCCACAUGGUCAAGUGGAGGGGACGGGAAAAAGCUAUGAAGGGUUUGUGACCACACAGACUCUCCUGGCCCCCUGUCCUUUUGGAAAGAAGACAGGGAUGAAAUAUAAUCAAGCAAUUAACCACCCCCAUCAUCACCAAGAACAACAGUAUCAACAAGAAGAACAGGGACAACAAAACCCACGGAUGAAACAUUCCUUUCUCAGCUCAGAUCUUAUCUGGUGCGUUCUCUCUCUGCUCUGUCUUGGUGUGUGGUUUAGAGAAACAUGGACAACGCUGUUUGGAAGAACAGGUGAGCGAGGGUGGGGAAUUUCAGAGGCCUGGGCCCACCGCCUCCACCCCUUCCCCAGUUUAACCUUUGACAGGAUCUUCACCUCUCUCUGAUCAGCAUUGCUUCUUGUUCAAAGGCCUCAGCCACCCAGCUGUGUCCCUUUCCCCAGAAAGCAAGGGCAGAUGGCAGUGGGUCUGUUGAUGAGAGAACUUUAAGGGCCCAAUCAGUCCCUGGGCACCCCCUCCUGGGCUCGUUUUCUCCAGGAGGCUGCAUUCUGAUCCAUAAACCUUCUCCUCGGGGUUUAGGGUCGAGCUGUUCCUGAUGUUUAUCGGAGACUGGGAUCAAAGCUAUCCAGGUCAUAAAUCUCUCUCUGUGGCUGUUGGGCCCCAGGGCAGCUGAAGAGGGUUGACAGCCCUUUGGACCUCAAAGGAAAAAAUGUGCUCUACUCCACCCACUCCCAGCUCUGCCAAGAAGCUGUCCUCUGAGAAGCCAUGGCUGGGCCGUUCCAUUCUGGGGAGCUGCUGAAAAGAGCUGGGAGGCCGAGAAGAACUUGCGUGUGCUGGGGGAGAGGAAGCCUGGCCUUGAGGGAGGGGUGCAGGGCUUCCCAGGAAUCAACAAUGCCCAAGAAGGAAGGGAUUGUAGAAAUAGCUUAACCCUUUCAUUUACCAACGUGGAAAUUGAAGCCCAGGGAAGGGAAGGGACCGGUCGUGGAAGGGAGAGCCAUCAGCAGAAAGAGACCCUGAGAUCUUCGCCUGGGAUUCCCAGGAAGUCCAGCCCGAGCUGAUUCACAGAACAAAUGCAUGCAAACCUUGCUAUCAAUAAAUUACACAUGCACUUACGUAAAACACAUAAAAAUAUAUGGCCUUGGUUUUGGAACAAUACCCCACAGAUAAAAGUAGCUUUAAAUCCUCCAUAAAAUGAUAAAGUCUAGUCCUAAACUCCUAGCAGUUCUGCGGGUGAUCACAGGCGGCAGGAGCCGCUCAAACUUUAAUGGCUUGGUAUCUCCACAUGUAGACAGGAGGCAGAAAACCAUCGGGGAUGAAGUCGUGGGCUCUAGAAUUGCAAAGACGUGGGUUCCAGGCCAGGCUUGGCCCUUGCUAACUGUUGACCUUGAGCAAAUUACCCAACCUGUUCCUUAUUUGUUUCUGCCUCAUAGGUAGUUGUGCAGAUGAAAUGAUAUCAGUUCUCAGAACAGUGCUGGGGACAGAGUACACUCUAUGCUCAAUACAUAUUCACUUUUAGAGAUAUCUUGGGAUUCUCAGUCUAAGUGACAUUCAAAAGUACCUCACUGGGAGGCAAGACCAAGGUGGAGCCUCCUCUUGGAUGGGAUGUGGGCCUAUUUUAUUUUACUUCUUUAUUUUUGUAGGUGCAUGCCACCACACUUGCUA